CAGUAGCCACGGUAAUACGGAGGGGGCUAGCGUUGUUCGGAAUUACUGGGCGUAAAGCGCACGUAGGCUGCUUUGUAAGUCAGAGGUGAAAGCCCGGGGCUCAACCCCGGAUGUGCCUUUGAGACUGCAGGGCUAGAACGUCGGAGAGGUGAGUGGAAUUCCGAGUGUAGAGGUGAAAUUCGUAGAUAUUCGGAAGAACACCAGUGGCGAAGGCGGCUCACUGGACGACUGUUGACGCUGAGGUGCGAAAGCGUGGGGAGCAAACAGGAUUAGAUACCCCCGUAGUCCCUGUCUCUUAUAC
rnacentral:rRNA from 1 species